UACGGAGGGUGCAAGCGUUAUCCGGAUUCACUGGGUUUAAAGGGUGCGUAGGUGGGUCUGUAAGUCCGUGGUGAAAUCUCUAGGCUUAACCUGGAAACUGCCAUGGAUACUAUAGGUCUUGAAUACUGUGGAGGUCAGCGGAAUAUGUCAUGUAGCGGUGAAAUGCUUAGAUAUGACAUAGAACACCGAUUGCGAAGGCAGCUGGCUACACAAAUAUUGACACUGAGGCACGAAAGCGUGGGGAUCAAACAGG
rnacentral:rRNA from 1 species